UGCAAAGACUAGGAGACAGGUCGUGCAUAUGGGCAGCUACCUGAAGGACGCCCCAAAGGAAUCACUGACGAUAGGGCUACUCUUAACAUUAAUGGAACUCCUCAGCGACAAAACUGAUACUCCACUUAGGCAAAGAGUGCCAAGAAGCUGCAAAUGUUUCAACACUCCCCGUAUCAUUUGCAUCCCAGAGGUUAAAGAAGAUUAGAAGGGGAAAAAAAAAAAAGCACUUGCGAUGAAAUAUUCUCUGAGCUCAUGCAGUCCUCCCACACUGAAAA